GAUAAACAGGUUCUCGUACGAUCACUGAAGUUAAGCAACGUCGAGCCUUGUCAGUGCCUAGAUGGGUGACCACUAGGGAAUACCAGGUGUUGUAA